ACCUCUAAGCGUCAAGGAUUGGAGAUGCUCUAAUAGCUGCAAAUCAGCAUAAUGUAGACCCAAAUCAUAAUCAUCUUCAUCUUGACAAUCAGCAUAAUGUAGACCCAAAUCAUAAUCAUCUUCAUCUUGACAAUCAGCAUAAUGUAGACCCAAAUCAUAAUCAUCUUCAUCUUGACAAUACGACAAACAAUAUCUGUAUUGCAAAUCAGAUCUCCAACCAUACUACAGCCUGGAUCAUUUGGUCCAAUUGUCUUACUGGCUACUGCUUAUUACAACCCAUCAUCUUAGCGACGUUAUAUUGUUUGAGAGAGAGAGGGAAAACAUCACAUUUCUUCUUUUACCAGUUCUGGAAUGAUAGAAUCAAAGCAAAUGCAAAUAAAAGGUCCCAUAAAUUCCACAAAUUCCCCCCCCCCCCUCUCACUCUAGAACUAGAACGAAUUCUUGAAAAGAAAAACCAACCAGUAAUUGACAAAAUGUACAUCUGGAGCAUGCAAAAGAUAAUACUUUUUUUUUUCCCUCAUGAAUUAUCUAAAGGAAAGAAGAGAACUAACUCUAGGACCCUAUUAGCAGCAACGAGCAUUAUAUCUUCUUGGCAUCAUCUUCCAGCGGAUCACGUAGAGUUCCGAACAUCCAGUCCAUCCAUAUUGUGUAGUG
rnacentral:lncRNA from 1 species